rnacentral:lncRNA from 1 species
AUGCAAAUUCAGCCAGGGCUGGAAGUCAGGAAGUGGGUGACUUACUCCAUGCUCACCAGACAAGAACUUUCAACCAAUAAAGGAGUAAAGCACACAGAAAAAGGAUCAGAUUCAGAAUUGUACCACCUCUUGUACCACCUAUUGGGGAGAGAAAAUACUCACCUCAGGACUCUCUUGCCACAAGGGACCCCCGCCUGCACUUUUCUCUUCAAGCAAAGAACAGCUAUUCUAAUCACGGAUGAGAAAAUUUAUCGGUAAGAUGGGGAUAGUGGCUAUCAACAUACAUGAUAACAUGUAGAAAAGCACCUUACAUGCUAUUUAAGAACAGUUCACAGUUGCCUGGGUGGCUCAGUCGGUUAAGCGUUCAACUCUUGAUUUCAGCUCAGGUCAUGAUCUCAGGGUCCUGGGAUCGAGCCCCACGUUGGGCUCUGCACUGAGCAUAGAGCCUGCUUGAGAUUCUCUCUCUCCCUCCCCUCCAUCCCUCCCCUCACUCACACUCUCUCUCUCUCUAAAAAAAAAAAGAAUGCAAACAAUGAAUCAUGGAACACUACAUCAAAAACUAAUGAUGUACUAUAUGGUGACUAACAUAACAUAAUUUAAAAAAUUAAAGUAAAAAAUUUUUGAAAAGAACAGUUCAAAUGUUAGCUGCUGAUGUUCUUACAAUGUAUAAAAGCACAAGCAUAUUUUUAAACAAAUUUGAAUAAGAAAUAUUAGAUACAGAUGACAUUUGCUCUGAAUGACACAGACGCAUGUUAUGACAGACGUAUUUAGACACUGUUGGGAAUCAUUCUUUGGACUUAGCCAGUCAUCUUAAAUGGAAAGAAUCAGCCCUGAACAACUUACUUUCUUCAUGCUUAAAAAAAAUUAUUUAAGAAUUGGUGCUAUGUGGGGCUCCUGGGUGGCACCGUCGUUAAGCAUCUGCCUUCGGCUCAGGGCGUGAUCCCGGCGUUAUGGGAUCAAGACCCACAUCAGGCUCCUCCACUGGGAGCCUGCUUCUUCCUCUCCCACUCCCCCUGCUUGUGUUCCCUCACUCGCUGGCUGUCUCUGUCAAAUAAAUAAAAGAAAAGGCAAACA